ensembl:snoRNA small nucleolar RNA, C/D box 19B
UGGGGCUUGAAAUAUGAUGAGUAUAAAGUCUUGAUAGAAAAAUGAAAAAUAACAAGGUCCAACUCUGAUUUCUUCCAAAG